AAUUUAGGGUUAAGGUGCAGAUAGGCCCCUUAAGUAGAGGCCCUUAUAGCGUUUUGCUCCCCUUACUCACUGUGUGUGCAACUAAACCCCUAAAGUUCAAAAAAGCGCACAAAUUGGCCCCUCUGACCUGACGCCGUUAGUCAACAUCCUAAUCGAAGACACCAAGAAGAAACUAGGGUUUUGGGAAGACGAAGAAGGAAAGCAAGUUAAACAACGAGCCAUUGAAAGAGCCAGCGCGAUUGAAGCCCGGAGGAUCCCAAUCAGUAGUUAUCAAUGAGGGUACACAAAGAGAAAGUGAACCAAAUGUGAAGUUUCCCAUACCCAAUGAAAGAGAGCUCAGAAGGGAAAAAAGAAUGGAAAAGAUGAAGAGAGUCCCAACAUCAGCUGGUGAGAGCUCGAAGAUGAAGACGGCUGCAUCAAAGCGUUUGAAGGCUCCAAAAGUUCAAACUGAAGUCCAGCCACCAAUGCUCAGAAGGUCUCCUAGGAAACUAAAUGUUAUUUCUACUGCUGGAUCCACAACAGGCAGUUGAACACUUAAAUUUCUAGUGUUUUGGAUUGUUAAGCAAACAACAACCUCUAUUUUUUGAACGUUGUUCAGCCAACAAACAACAACAGUGUUUUGAAGUGA